CACGGAGAGUUUGAUCCUGGCUCAGGAUGAACGCUGGCGGUGAGCUUAACACAUGCGAGUCGAACGGGGGCCGCUCCUUCGGGGGCGGUACCUAAGUGGC
rnacentral:rRNA from 1 species